GACGAACGCUGGCGGCGUGCUUAACACAUGCAAGUCGAACGCUGAAGCUCAGCUUUUGUUGGGUGGAUGAGUGGCGAACGGGUGAGUAACACGUGAGUAACCUGCCUCCUUCUUUGGGAUAACGCCCGGAAACGGGUGCUAAUACUGGAUAUUCACUGGUCUUCGCAUGGGGGUUGGUGGAAAGGGUUUUUCUGGUGGGGGAUGGGCUCGCGGCCUAUCAGCUUGUUGGUGGGGUGAUGGCCUACCAAGGCUUUGACGGGUAGCCGGCCUGAGAGGGUGACCGGUCACAUUGGGACGGAGAUACGGCCCAGACUACGACGGGAGGCAGCAGUGGGGAAUAUUGCACAAUGGGCGCAAGCCUGAUGCAGCGACGCCGCGUGAGGGAUGGAGGCCGUCGGGUUGUGAAACUCUUUCGCUCAUGGUCAAGCCGCAACAAUGGUUGUGGUGAGGGUAGUGGGUAAAGAAGCGCCGGCUAACUACGUG
rnacentral:rRNA from 1 species